ACUAAGGUUCGAUUCGAGCGACAGCGAGAAAGCGUUGCCGCAGGCAACGACCCGAAGGGCGAAGCGCGCAGCGCUGAGUCAUCCUUCCCCCACCACCA
rnacentral:sRNA from 1 species